rnacentral:rRNA from 1 species
UACGAAGGGUGCAAACGUUGCUCGGAAUUAUUGGGCGUAAAGCGCACGUAGGCGGCUUAGCAAGUCGGAAGUGAAAUCCCUCGGCUCAACCAAGGAAGUGCUUUCGAAACUGCUGAGCUUGAGUAGUUAAGAGGAUCGCGGAAUUCCCGGUGUAGAGGUGAAAUUCGUAGAUAUCGGGAGGAACACCAGUGGCGAAGGCGGCGAUCUGGGAACAUACUGACGCUGAGGCGCGAAAGCGUGGGGAGCAAACGGG